ACGCUCGACACCUACGGGAGGCAGCAGUGGGGAAUAUUGGGCAAUGGGCGCAAGCCUGACCCAGCAACGCCGCGUGAAGGAUGAAGGCUUUCGGGUUGUAAACUUCUUUUAACAGGGACGAAAUAAAUGACGGUACCUGUUGAAUAAGCCACGGCUAACUACGUGCUAGCAGCCGCGGUAAUCUGAGCGGGCUGGCAAGGC
rnacentral:rRNA from 1 species